AAAAAUGUAGAUGGGAUGAAAGCCAGACACGAUUCAGGUCACGAAUUAUCGCCUUAGAAUCAGUGAAGACUGAAGUUUAUGAUAACUGGAAGAAUGUCCGGCGACGUUGAACCGACGGUUAUGGGUCAGACAGUGGGAUUUCUAGAGCGACAAAUACAAAUUGGACUGAAUGAAAUGGAAGUAACACUAGAUGUUAAAUAUUGAUACCUUAACAAACAGACACACUGUAGAAAAUUUGAAGAGAAAAAACGGGACUACUGGGCCUGUUGAAGUUUUCUGCUCAACUAAGGAGAAAAUCAGCGAAACAUUUGUUCGAAAUUUGGUACAAAAGAUCAAAUACAGCCAGGGUAAUGAGCAGUAAAAAGUCACACGUUCUCAACUACAAAUGUUACCCACUCUGACAUCAAAACAGAAGACUCAAGUUAUCCCAAACAAACUUUCUGACACUUAUAACAAUGCUUUCAGCCUUAAUUUUUACAGCAGGAUCGGGAGAUUAAUACACGGUCACAUCAGUAGCUCAAUAUGUUUCUUUGUUGAAAUUUGUCAUAUAUUUACUUUUUUAUAAUCUUUGCUGUGUUUGUUCUUGACAUAAUGUUAACUUUGAUUAACAGAAAAUGCCGUUUUGCAAAAGUUAUACCAAAUAGGUUUGUAAAAGCAGACUAUUUCAAUCGUUUUAAAAAACAGACUUUAUGUCUAUUUUUAUGUCUAAUAUUCUAUUUCUGAUAUGUUAUGUCUUAUACUUUAUAUCAAAUAUUUUUUAAAUCUAUUACUAAGAAAAGAAAUUAUAUGAAUACAUUCUGUAUUCAAUUCUCGCGAGAGGUCAAAGGGAGACAACCUGUACAGACAUGGACUUCAUAUUGUACAGUACAAAAACUCAAACGUAGUUCACGAACUUGUGUGGGGUAAAUGAUUCCAUACGAGAAAAUAUCUUAGACUUCAAUCAUUGGUUACUUUAUAAGAUUAGUUAUUCAUUUAGAGAUAGAAAUAUGUUCUAAUACUUUUUGAGAUUCGAGUAGCAGAAGAAAUCAAACAUGAGCUUUUUUCUAGUUUAAUACAAAAACGACAUUUCCCCGUUCUGUCUCCCUUAAAAUCCACAGAGCAAAUAUCAGAGAGGAAAUCUUGAUGAGUUAAACCUGUAAACCUCUCUAGCAGAUGAAUUGAUCAAAUUUGGGAUAUAAACUGAAUCUUCGGCAAUCCCUAUGGGAGCUAAUUUGCAUAUCUUAAACAAGCGUAUGAAGGUUUGACAUUUCUACAAACAUGAAUACAAGUGACAUAUAGGCAGUGGAAUGAUAUAAAUUAUAUACCAAAUAUAGAACUGUAAGAUGCUCAUAGAUAUUUGUUUAAAUCUACAGAUGUUGGAAUUGAGUUGUUUUAGUUUUAUGUUUUAAUAUGAUGUAAAAUGUAAGUAACCAAUAAAGUUCAUUCAGCUGUCAA